rnacentral:lncRNA from 1 species
AUUUAUCAUGAAAAUCUUUGGAAGAUCUUUGUUUUCUAAUCAUAGAUACUGUAGAGUUCUAGGACAUCACAGAUAUAAAGUCCCAUGUUCUAGAAUAAAUUUACUCUUAAAAAUCCAGGAAACUAAACCUCUCUCUCCUUUCUCUCGCACACACACACACAAACACGAAGUAGCCCAUACAUAAAACAGGCAUUGGAAGAGGUAGAGUUCCUCUGAUUGAAAGAGGAAGAAUAAAGAUUCUGCUCCCUCUUAUCACAUUUAGGC